AUGCCUACGGGGGGCAGCAGUGAGGAAUAUUGGACAAUGGGGGGAACCCUGAUCCAGCGACGCCGCGUGAGUGAAGAAGUAUUUCGGUAUGUAAAGCUCUAUCAGCAGGGAAGAAAGAAAUGACGGUACCUGACUAAGAAGCCCCGGCUAACUACGUGCCAGCAGCCGCGGUAAUACGUAGGGGGCAAGCGUUAUCCGGAUUUACUGGGUGUAAAGGGAGCGUAGACGGUGAUGCAAGUCAGAAGUGAAAGCCCGGGGCUCAACUCCGGGACUGCUUUUGAAACUGUGUAACUGGAGUGCAGGAG
rnacentral:rRNA from 1 species